rnacentral:rRNA from 1 species
UGGGGAAUAUUGCACAAUGGGCGCAAGCCUGAUGCAGCCAUGCCGCGUGUAUGAAGAAGGCCUUCGGGUUGUAAAGUACUUUCAGUCGGGAGGAAGGUGGUAAGGUUAAUAACCUUGGCAAUUGACGUUACCGACAGAAGAAGCACCGGCUAACUCCGUGCCAGCAGCCGCGGUAAUACGGAGGGUGCAAGCGUUAAUCGGAAUUACUGGGCGUAAAGCGCACGCAGGCGGUUGAUUGAGUCAGAUGUGAAAUCCCCGGGCUUAACCCGGGAAUUGCAUCUGAUACUGGGCAGCUAGAGUCUUGUAGAGGGGGGUAGAAUUCCAGGUGUAGCGGUGAAAUGCGUAGAGAUCUGGAGGAAUACCGGUGGCGAAGGCGGCCCCCUGGACGAAGACUGACGCUCAGGUGCGAAAGCGUGGGGAGCAAACAGG